UUCCACGGCCGUGCCACCCUGAACACGCCGGAUCUCGUCUGAUCUCGGAAGCUAAGCAGGGUCGGACCUGGUUAGUACUUGGAUGGGAGACCAUCUAGGAAGACCAGGUGCUGUAGGCU
rnacentral:rRNA from 1 species